rnacentral:rRNA from 1 species
GAUCAUGGCUCAGGAUGAACGCUGGCGGCGUGCCUAACACAUGCAAGUCGAGCGAGGCAAUCGAGAUGAAGUUUUCGGAUGGAUUCUUAAUUGACUGAGCGGCGGACGGGUGAGUAACGCGUGGGUAACCUGCCUCAUACAGGGGGAUAACAGUUAGAAAUGACUGCUAAUACCGCAUAAGCGCACAGUACCACAUGGUGCGGUGUGAAAAACUCCGGU